rnacentral:rRNA from 1 species
UACGUAGGGGGCAAGCGUUGUCCGGAUUUAUUGGGCGUAAAGAGCGUGUAGGCGGACAAGCAGGUCCGCUGUGAAAACUCGAGGCUCAACCUCGAGAGGUCGGUGGAAACCGUUUGGCUAGAGUCCGGAAGAGGAGAGUGGAAUUCCCGGUGUAGCGGUGAAAUGCGCAGAUAUCGGGAAGAACACGCGUGGCGAAGGCGGCUCUCUGGGACGGUACUGACGCUGAGACGCGAAAGCGUGGGGAGCGAACAGG